rnacentral:rRNA from 1 species
ACCCGCUGAACUUAAGCAUAUCAAUAAGCGGAGGAAAAGAAACCAACAGGGAUUGCCUUAGUAACUGCGAGUGAAGCGGCAAAAGCUCAAAUUUGAAAUCUGGUGCCUUCGGCGCCCGAGUUGUAAUUUGGAGAGACAUCUUCGGAGUAGACGCCGUCCUAAGUUCCUUGGAACAGGACGUCACAGAGGGUGAGAAUCCCGUGCCUGGAUGGCUGUUCUACUUCAUGUGAAGUGUCUUCGACGAGUCGAGUUGUUUGGGAAUGCAGCUCAAAAUGGGAGGUAAAUUUCUUCUAAAGCUAAAUAUUGGCGAGAGACCGAUAGCGCACAAGUAGAGUGAUCGAAAGAUGAAAAGCACUUUGAAAAGAGAGUUAAAAAGUACGUGAAAUUGUUGAAAGGGAAGCGCUUGAGACCAGACUCGACCAGUGGUGAUCAGCGGUGCUUCUGUGCCGUGCACUUGCCAUUGGUUGGGCCAGCAUCGGUUUGGACGGCGGGAUAAAGACCUAAGGAAUGUGGCUCCCUCCGGGGAGUGUUAUAGCCUUGAGUGCAAUGCCGCCAAUCUGGACCGAGGACCGCGCUUCGGCUAGGAUGCUGGCGUAAUGGUCUU